rnacentral:piRNA from 1 species
GGAUAAGCCUGAAGAGCAGUGGU